UCCUGGUUAGAUCAGUUGGUAAAGCGCUCCACUGGAAAUGGAGAGGUCCUUGGUUCGAUACCAAGGCCAGGCC
rnacentral:tRNA from 2 species